GAAAGUAAACAAGGGCGCAUGGAGGAUGCCUAGGCUCUCGGAGGCGAAGAAGGACGUGAUAAGCUGCGAAAAGUUACGGUAAGGCGCAAAUAGCCCUAGACCCGUAAAUAUCCGAAUGGGGCAACCCGGCCAGCAAUGGCCAUACCGCCAAGCGGUAAGCCAACGCGGGGAACUGAAACAUCUAAGUACCCGCAGGAAAAGAAAAUAACAAUGAUUCCGCCAGUAGUGGCGAGCGAACGCGGAACAGCCCAAACCACCCGUGUUACGGCACGAGUGGGGUAGAAGGAUCCACGCUACGGCAAGAAAUAAGUUAGCAGAAUACGAUGGAAAUCGUAGCCAGAGACGGUGACAGCCCGGUACGCGAAAACGGACAGAAGCCCAGUGGACACCUGAGUAACCCAGGACACGAGAAAUCCGGGGCGAAUCAGCGGGGCCCAUCCCGUAAGGCUAAAUACUCCCGAGAGACCGAUAGCGAACCAGUACUGUGAAGGAAAGGUGAAAAGAACCUCGAACAGAGGAGUGAAACAGACCCUGAAACCAUGCGCCUACAAGCGGUCGGAGCAUGUUAAAAUGUGACGGCGUGCCUUUUGCAUAAUGAACCUACGAGUUACUCUCGCUGGCAAGGUUAAGCGAUUCAGUCGCGCAGCCGAAGCGAAAGCAAGUCCGAACAAGGCGUACAGUCAGCGGGAGUAGACGCGAAACCAAGUGAUCUACCCUUGGUCAGGUUGAAGGUUGGGUAACACCAACUGGAGGACCGCACCGAUAAGCGUUGAAAAGCUUACGGAUGAACUGAGGGUAGGAGUGAAAGGCCAAUCAAACUUGGAGAUAGCUCGUACUCCCCGAAAUGCAUUUAGGUGCAGCCUCGAAGUAAAGUGAUAGAGGUAGAGCGACUGAUAAGAUGCGAGGGCUUCACCGCCUAUCAAGUCUUGACAAACUCCGAAUACUAUCACUUGAUCUUCGGGAGUGAGGGCAUGGGUGCUAAGGUCCAUGUCCGAAAGAGGAACAACUCAGACCACCAGCUAAGGUCCCGAAAUAAGGGCUAAGUUGAAUAAACGAAGUAAAACUGCAAAGACAGCUAGGAUGUUGGCUUGGAAGCAGCCAUUCAUUUAAAGAGUGCGUAACAGCUCACUAGUCGAGGAGUUUUGCAUGGAUAAUAAUCGGGCAUAAGCCCUUUACCGAAGCUGUGGAUGUCGUAAGACAUGGUAGGGGAGCAUUCCGGCGGCGACGAAGGCCGUCCUCGAGGACGACUGGAGCUUUCGGAAAAGCAAAUGUAGGUAUAAGUAACGAUAAAGGGGGCGUGAAACCCCCUCGCCAUAAGACUAAGGAUUCCUGAUCAACGCUAAUCGGAUCAGGGUAAGUCGGGCCCUAAGGCGCAGCCGAACGGCGUAGCCGAUGGAAGAAACGGUAAAGAUUCCGUUACUGGAUAUAGGAGCGAUGUGGAGACGGAGAAGUGACACACCCGCCUGCCGACGGAAGCGCAGGUUAAAGGAAGUAGGUAAACGCCGGGUAGGCAAAUCCGCCUGGCGUGCCGAAGCUGACAGUAUCGAGAGCCCCCGGGCAAUCGAAUAGCGGUGGUAAUCAGGCUCCCAAGAAAAUCCGCUAAGCAUAUUCUAUAUCCACCCGUACCCCAAACGGACACACGUAGUCGGGUAGAAUAUACCAAGGCGCUCGAAAGACUCACGGUUAAGGAACUAGGCAAAUUGACCCUGUAACCUCGGGAAAAAGGGUCCCCAGUAAGAUGGGGCGCAGAGAAUAGGUCCAGGCAACUGUUUAACAAAAACACAGGGCUGUGCAAAAUUUCAAGAUGAAGUAUACAGCCUGACACCUGCCCGGUGCCGGAAGGUUAAGAGGAGAGCUAAUCGCAAGAGAAGGCUUGAAUUGAAGCCCCGGUAAACGGCGGCCGUAACUAUAACGGUCCUAAGGUAGCGAAAUUCCUUGUCGGGUAAGUUC
rnacentral:rRNA from 1 species